UAGGGUGCACUGAAGCCAUCGAGCGCCUCUUUCUCCGCAGGAACCGAAGCCCUACCGUGGAAGAUGGCCCUUCAACCACAGGCUCACCGGUGCACCUUCUCCGUGGGCACAGAGGGAGGUGCUGGGGAAGGAACAUCUUCUGCAAGAAAUCAGUGCAAGCUUUGAGAACCUGGGGUAACCUAUGCCCUCCCCUGGAGCUUUUGUCAUCUUGACAGCAAGUUUGUGCUAAAGGGUCAAAUGCCAAUUUCAAAGAAAAAGAAAAAGGAAAAAAAAAAAUACCCCAAGAACUGGAACAAGGGAAACUCUGUCUGGUACUUCUUUCCAGCCAAAGAACUCUUUAAUAGCAAACUAUUAGACAAAUCCCAGGCCUGGGGGGUUGUUACAGAGGUUUUGGAUUCUUACCAGAAUUUUUUUUUUUUGUGUGUCUCCAAACCUGUAUUGUCUGAAUGCAGCUGAAAAGAAGAAUCAUUCAGUGUAAUGAGAAGUUUUGCCACUAUCAUGGAAGUCCGUAUUUCUGAUGGGAUGUGUGAUCCUUAAUUGUCAAGGGAGCUGACUGUUAAAUAUCAUUUAUUAAUAAAUUGUAAGAAGAGAAGUCUGAAACCUUUGAAAUGCAGAUUGUCAGCUCUGUAGUUAGACCUGAACUGAAAUGAUAAAUUCCAGAAGUCAAAA